UACGGAGGGUGCAAGCGUUAAUCGGAAUUACUGGGCGUAAAGCGCACGCAGGUGGCUGAGUCAGUCGAUUGUGAAAGCCCUGGGCUUAACCUAGGAAUUGCAGUCGAUACUACUCGGCUAGAGUAUGGGAGAGGGCAGUGGAAUUCCCGGUGUAGCGGUGAAAUGCGUAGAUAUGCGGAGGAACACCGAUGGCGAAGGCAAUCCCCUGGGCCUGCACUGACGCUCAUGCACGAAAGCGUGGGGAGCAAACAGG
rnacentral:rRNA from 1 species